GAUGAACGCUGGCGGCGUGCCUAAUACAUGCAAGUCGAGCGAACAGACGAGGAGCUUGCUCCUCUGACGUUAGCGGCGGACGGGUGAGUAACACGUGGAUAACCUACCUAUAAGACUGGGAUAACUUCGGGAAACCGGAGCUAAUACCGGAUAAUAUAUUGAACCGCAUGGUUCAAUAGUGAAAGACGGUUUUGCUGUCACUUAUAGAUGGAUCCGCGCCGCAUUAGCUAGUUGGUAAGGUAACGGCUUACCAAGGCAACGAUGCGUAGCCGACCUGAGAGGGUGAUCGGCCACACUGGAACUGAGACGCGGUCCAGACUCCUACGGGAGGCAGCAGUAGGGAAUCUUCCGCAAUGGGCGAAAGCCUGACGGAGCAGCGCCGCGUGAGUGAUGAAAGUCUUCGGAGCGUAAAACUCUGUUAUGAGGGAAGAACAAAUGUGUAAGUAACUAUGCACGUCUUGACGGUACCUAAUCAGAAAGCCACGGCUAACUACGUG
rnacentral:rRNA from 1 species